UGUUUCGAUAGUUCAUUCCACGCCCUCUGGUGACCAAAUACAGUUCAAACGGAGCCCUCCAAUUACGUUGGAACAAGUUAAUCAAGAAACAUCGGAGAAAGGAUCGUUCGAAUUUAACAUCGUCAGUUUUGUGAUUGGUUUUCUUAUUCCUUUCGUCUUCUUGGUCGUCGCUGCCUGGAUUAUAUACAAAUUGAAGAAGAAAAUAAAGAAUUUGGAGGAAAAGGCAGAAGUGAAAGAACACAAUUACGAAACUGUUAAAGAAAAAGAAACUCCUACAAACAACCCAGCAUCACAACCAUCAUAUUCAAAUGUGCUGCAAGAAACUGUCGGUUACGAACAAGUUCUUUCUGCGACAACUAAUCAAACACAAGUGGAGUCAGCUUACGAACAACCAUCAUCAUCAAAUGUCUUGCAAGAAACUGCCGGGUACGAACAAGCUCUUCCUGCGAAAACUAAGCAAACACAAGUGGAGUCAGCUUACGAAACUUACAACGCCUGAUAAAUUUCAGCUAAGCAUUAGCACUUUGCAUAUUACAAAAUAUCAAAAAAUCUAUAUUUUUUUUUGAUAAAACAAUUG